GACGAACGCUGGCGGCGUGCUUAACACAUGCAAGUCGAACGGAAAGGCCCUUCGGGGUACUCGAGUGGCGAACGGGUGAGUAACACGUGGGUGAUCUGCCCUGCACUUUGGGAUAAGCCUGGGAAACUGGGUCUAAUACCGAAUAUGAUCAUCAGCUUCAUGGUUGGUGGUGGAAAGCUUUUGCGGUGUGGGAUGGGCCCGCGGCCUAUCAGCUUGUUGGUGGGGUAAUGGCCUACCAAGGCGACGACGGGUAGCCGGCCUGAGAGGGUGACCGGCCACACUGGGACUGGGAUACGGCCCAGACUCCUACGGGAGGCAGCAGUGGGGAAUAUUGCACAAUGGGCGCAAGCCUGAUGCAGCGACGCCGCGUGAGGGAUGACGGCCUUCGGGUUGUAAACCUCUUUCAGCACAGACGAAGCGCAAGUGACGGUAUGUGCAGAAGAAGGACCGGCCAACUACGUGCCAGCCGCCGCUGUAACAC
rnacentral:rRNA from 1 species